GCUGGGUGGCUCAGUCGGUUAAGCGUCUGACUUUGGCUCAGGUCAUGAUUUCAUUGUUCGUGGGUUCGAGCCCCACAUCAGGCU
rnacentral:tRNA from 1 species